UACGUAUGGGGCGAGCGUUGUCCGGAUUUACUGGGCGUAAAGCGCGCGUAGGCGGAGCGUUAAGUCCGGUCUGAAAGCCCCCGGCUCAACCGGGGAAGGUGGCUGGAAACUGGCGCACUGGAGGGCGGCAGAGGCGUGUGGAAUUCCUGGUGUAGCGGUGAAAUGCGUAGAGAUCAGGAGGAACACCCGUGGCGAAGGCGGCACGCUGGGCCGGCCCUGACGCUGAGGCGCGAAAGCCAGGGGAGCGAACGGG
rnacentral:rRNA from 1 species